UCUCCCAUCGCGAUCGGGGCAAAUGUUUAUGAAUUUGUUUGCCGGGCAGGCUGCCAAAUAUACAACAUGCAUAACGUAUGCUUUUAUGCGGAUAAAGCCAGACGCGAUUCCAAUCUAAACACUAAAGAACGCUGCCCGAUAUUCAAAUUCAAUUUGUUAAAUAUCGAAGACAUUUUAAUGUGAAUUGCGAAAUUAACAACGUAUAAAACGCAUUUAAAAACAGAUCCUAGUUGCUCAUGAAAAAGAAGAACUAUUUAUAUUUGGUUUUGGUUAAUGAGAAACGCAUCAUUUAUACGUUUGAAAUUGUACUUCUAUAGCACCAAUUUAAUCAAUAUCCCCAAGUCGGCAGACAUCAGGGAAUUUGAGUCACUCCAAUUAAGUCCGAAAUUAGGUCAGCAGGCUAAUAAAUCAACGACUUGGCAUAGUUUCAAGUUGCAAAGGCUGUUCAUUGUUUACAAGUUCCAAAGUGCUAUAUUUUAUUUUUGUGACGAGCAGGAAUUUAAAUUUAAGUAAUAACAAAUUUAAGAACACA